UUACGAUGAAAUAAGCCCAUAAAUAAUUAGCUCUGGUAAGUUGUAAUGGAAUCCAGAAACUUGGGUAGUCUGGGCACAGCAGCGUCCACGCUUUAAUCGACGACUAAGUGCUUCUUCUCGUUUUCUUCCCUCGAGUUGUUAUCGGUUUUUGGCGGGAGUCGUCGCGGUCGUCAUCGUCAUUGAAUCAGCCAUGCCUCGGUACUACUGUGACUACUGCGACACCUAUUUGACCCACGAUUCUGGUUCCUAGCUGGUUCAAAACUGAACUGGGCCCAAAUAUUGCGUUCUCCUUCAACACAACCGCGAAAACCUUAACUCAGAGCUCGUUCACCAUACCACCCAAAUCAAUUGUCCAAAAUCGCGGCUCAAACCGAACAUUCGAACUUGAAUCAGGAAUUUUGGGGCAAGGUUGCUAGUGUUGGCAGGAUUCAGGAGUAACUAUAGUUCAAACCUACUACAGAGAAGAGACAUCGUGUUCCUUCUGCUUAUAAUCGCUUCAUUAAGGAGGAAAUUCAAAGGAUUAAGGCUAGUAAUCCAGAUAUCAGCCACAGGGAGGCUUUCAGCUCAGCAGCAAAAAACUGCAAUGAAGACAUUAACCACUACUUUCGAAGAGUCAUGUUCAAACUGGAGGCUAUGAGUGUGGAUAUUAUAUCAUGCAUUGGAUGUAGUGCAUAGUCAGCGGUGGUUUGAAGAAUGAAUGAAACAGGGUAUGUUAAGUAUCACAAGUUUUAAUUGUUAGUUUGGUAUCAAUUUGUAAUUGAAUGUUUGAUGUACGUGACUUAUUUCAUCAUUUUAAUUUUUGUAGUGGUUUUGUGGUGGAUCAACUUUAGACAUAGAGGUCAUGACAACACUUCGCAAGAAAUGGGCAACAUAUUUUUUACAAGUUAAAAACAUGUUCUUUAGAAACAUUUAGAUGAUAUAGGAUGAUAUUGUUUUGAACGUAACAUGGUUAUUGUUAACAUUAUUUACAACUUGGGUAAAGAAUUGACAUUUAUUUCAGCAGUAACAUAUUUAUUUAUUACUAUUUGUUUGUACCGAACUCCUUGCACAAUGCUUUGUAUUUGCAAUGUGUACUUGCGUUGAUAGUAUAAUUGUUUUUUGUGAUGCCACACUUGGUAUCUAGCCGCUCAUUGUCAACCAUUGUAUUUUUAAAGUCCUAUUGGCAGCGGUAAUCACAAUGACAAAUUUUGUACAGGUUGGAGUAGUACAUUCAAUCAAUUUCUAUAAAUAUUUUUAUUUCUUAUAUGUUUUGUCAAAAUCUUCCACUAAUUGAGGGAGGUUAUUUUUUGUGUUACAAUUUGCUUGGUGCGUCAAAAUAUCAAAUUUCAAUGGAAGUGUUCGCAAGAAGGAAGCGUUUCAAGGUGAUUGUGAGGGUGUUGGCAAGAAAGAAGGUUGAUUCAUGAUUCAGAUCACGAUGAUAGUUAGGAAAGCACGGAGGAUACCAAUUUCUCCGAUGAUGAAGUCUCUGCUCCCAAUAACCACACAACUAUGACAAGGAACAAUUGUUUGGAUGCCAAGGCCACAAAGGAUUUCUCAAGAUAGGUUUGGCCAAUCAAAACCUAACCGUUCAGGUUCCCAAAUCUGCCUGAAGGUUCAUAGAUGGAGAAAUAGGUUUCAAUAAAUGUGUUCAAAGGAACCUCACUCAAGCUGUCACUGCCCUUAUUCAUCUUCAAAAGCAAUCUCACCUGCACAAUGUGAAUUGCCCUGAUGAUGACAUCGUUGGAUUAAAUGGCAUUCUCAUGAUUGAAGCGGGUAGACUUUUAAUACCGGGGGGCUACUUUGUCUGGACUUCACCACUUACAAAUGCACUUGACAAAGACAGUCAGAAAAGAUGGAAGUUCAUACAAAGUUUUGUUGAAAACCUUUGCUGGGAUAUGCUAUCAUAGCAAGAUGAAAUUGUCGUAUGGAAGAAAACUAGUAAAAGGAAUUGCUAUAGUUCAAGAAAGAAUAGUUAUCCACCUCCUUUAUGUGGCAAAGGCUAUGAUGUGAAGUCUCCGUAUUAUCGAGAAUGGCAAAACUACAUAGGAAGAACACAUAGCAGCCGCUGGAUUUCUAUCAAAGAGAGAGAAACUUGGCCUUCCAGAGAUCACUUGAACAAAAAGAAGCUUGCAAUCUUUGGGUUGCAAUCUAAUAAAUUUGCUAAGGACUCUAAAAGCUGGAAAGCAGCAGUUCAAAUUUAUUGGUCUCUUCUGUCACCUUUAAUAUUUUCUGAUCAUCCAAAGAAACCUGGUGAUAAGAACCCUCCACCACCUUAUAACAAGCUAAGAAAUGUGCUAGACAUGAAUGCUCAUGUUGGUGGUUUUAAUUAUGCAAUGUUGCAAGCUGAAAAAUCCAUAUGGGUAAUGAAUGUGGUCCCUCUGAUUGGACUCAACUAUCUUUCCUUGAUCCAGCAUCGAGGUUAUGUUGGUGUUUUGCACAAUUGCAAGGGAAUCUUUGCAUUAUGAUGGCACAAAAAUUGAGACUUCCAUUGAACAAAAACCCAAGCCCAAGACUGUUGCUAAACCCAUUGUCGCUGAGCUUGCUCAAAGAACAUUGGAAGUGUUCCCUCCGCAAACUCAAGGCUCUCAUCCCUUCCUCCAGAGCCUUAUUAUCGUGGGGAAACUAUUGACAUCCCCCUUGAUAAUGCAAAGUUUCAUAUACCACAUCCUGGCAGAGUUGGAGGAAGGUUUUUUGGUUGACAUCAUGAUGCCUUCUAUGUUGAACUGGGUCUUAGGUGGCAAUAGGAAACAUUUAGAUCCCAUUUUUCUUUGCUUUGCUCAUAGACUUUCUUUCAUGUGAACACAUUUUUGUUAUUAUUGAUUGACAUUAAAUGUUUCUAGUGUUAUAAAAUUUUACGAAUCUUACUUAUGAUUUAA